UUGCACGCUGGCGGACUGCUUUACCCCUGCACGUCGAGCGGCAGCGCGGCCUUCGGGCUGGCGGCGAGCGGCGAACGGGUGAGUAAUGCAUCGGAACAUGCCCAGUCGUGGGGGAUAACACUUCGAAAGAAGUGCUAAUACCGCAUACGUCCUGAGGGGGAAAGCGGGGGAUCGCAAGACCUCGCGCGAUUGGAGUGGCCGAUGUCAGAUUAGCUAGUUGGUGGGGUAAAGGCCUACCAAGGCGACGAUCUGUAGCUGGUCUGAGAGGAUGAUCAGCCACACUGGGACUGAGACACGGCCCAGACUCCUACGGGAGGCAGCAGUGGGGAAUUUUGGACAAUGGGGGCAACCCUGAUCCAGCCAUUCCGCGUGAGUGAAGAAGGCCUUCGGGUUGUAAAGCUCUUUCGGCAGGAACGAAACGGUGGGCUCUAACAUAGUCCGCUAAUGACGGUACCUGAAGAAGAAGCACCGGCUAACUACGUG
rnacentral:rRNA from 1 species